rnacentral:lncRNA from 1 species
AUCAAUGUCUUGUAGCUUCAGGUUGAAAAAACCUGGCUCUGAAUAUAGAGUUAAAAAUUUACACUUUCAAAGUUUCCAGUUUUUUUUUGCCUGUUUGUUAUUUAUAGUAAAUGGGCAUGUUUAUUUCAGCUGUGGUGAGCUGACCUUCUCUGAAGAAGCUACACAAUAUAAAAGAUACUGCAGACUGCUUUGAUUAGCACUGUGGUUGCAGAGAGAUGUGAUGUCCUAAGUACUCAUACUCUGUGCACCUGGUUUAUCCAAAGGACCAUGGCAAAGGUCAGUUCUCUGAGAGCAACCAUAGUUCAAGAUGCACCGAGGCUCCUGAUAAACAAAUCCUGUAUGACACAGAUAAACAUAAAGGCUCCUGCCCCUUGUUGCAAAGGGUUCCACACACCUUUCUUGGGUGAGGUAGAACAAACUGCAGUGUUGGGAGCUAUUCAAUGGAGACAUCCAUAUGACAAGUAACUGAAGGUUACUUCUGACCAAUAGUGAACAAGAGUAGAAACUAAAUCCUGUCAACAACCUAUGCCUAUGAAAGCAGAUUUCUUCCCCAGUGAGACUUCAAGUGGAAUCCCAGCACUAACUGAAAUUUUAAUUUUAUCCUGGUGAAGACCCUAAAGCAGAGGAUUCAGCUAACAUGUCCAGAUAACUGAUCCACAGUAAGUACAAACUAAUACAUAUAUGCUACACUGAUAUGGUUUUGUUGUAGUGUUCAAUUACUCAGCAAUCAUUAUCAGUAGUCUUCAUAGUACCACACCUUUUGACAAAACAGACAAAGGUCCAUUUUGGCAUUAUCCCU